rnacentral:lncRNA from 1 species
ACAGUCUCUUCUAGUCCUGCACCAGCAGACAUUACCACUAGUAAGUAAUACAGUUUUACUCUGGGUUACAUGCUACAAGUUUCAGAGCAAGAAUAUGCACUUAAUAUUUAAUUUCACCUUUUCUUUCUCACAGCAACAGACGCUGCUGAACCCGCAGAUGUAACAGCUUCAACAGUCUCUCCUACUGAUGGACCUGCAGAUGUAACCACUGGUAAGGAAAAUUGCAUUACUGUGGUGUAUAUGCUAUCAGUCUUUAGGGGAAAAAAAAUUAAAAUUCACAUGAAAUUUAAUUUUACCUUAUCUUUUCACAGUCUCUCCUAGUCCUGCACCAGCAGACAUUACCACUACAACAGCCACUGCUGAACCUGCAGAUGCAACAGCUUGUAAGUAAAAUUGCAUUAUCGGGGUAUAUGUGCUAUCAGUCUUGAGGAAAGGAAAAAAUAUUUCAAAUGCAUAUAAAAUUUAAUUUCAACUUUUUUUUCACAGCAACAGUCUCUCCUACUGCUGAACCUGCAGAUGUAACCACUGCCCCUGCAGAAGACACAACCCCUGGAGCAGAAGUCCCGACCGUGCCUACAACAGCUGAAAUCCCAGUGCCAAGUCCAUCUGCUGCAUCAGUCCCUUCAACUCCUGAAACAACAACCACUGCCACUACACAGCUCAUUCCCCUGCCUGAGUAUGUGAGGAUGAUGUUGCUGAAAUACCUAAAUAGCCUGUGCCAGCCAAGGAGACCUGGGAUGCCAAGAAUAAUAUUGGAAGGGUGUGUAAGUGACCCAACCUGUGGGAAUAACCCUUCAUCAGGCCAGAGGCUUUUCCAGCUCCGUUACAAAGCUCCUGUAAACCAUGGAAUGUGCCUACGGUGCAAAGUAUUAGGGUGCAACAUACUCCCUCCUCCCCGACCCUUCCCAGGGAGCUUAUUCCCUCCUCCCUUUCCCCGACCCUUCCCAGGGAACUUAUUCCCUCUUCCCUUUCCCCGACCCUUCCCAGGGAACAAGUUCCCUCUUCCCUUUCCCCGACCCUUCCCAGGGAACAAACUCCCUUCUUUCAGACCCUUCCCAGUGCACAGGCUCCCUGUUCCCCAGCCCUUCCCAGGCUUCAGGAGAAGAGCCAGAAGCACAAGUGAUGGAGUCGUUGUUGUCUUUGUCCCCAAUUAA